AUUAAGGUCCUCUGGAUUGUAAACUUCUUUUAUCUGGGACGAAAAAAGGUCUUUCUAGAUCACUUGACGGUACCAGAUGAAUAAGCACCGGCUAACUCCGUGCCAGCAGCCGCGGUAAUACGGAGGGUGCAAGCGUUAUCCGGAUUCACUGGGUUUAAAGGGUGCGUAGGCGGGCAGGUAAGUCAGUGGUGAAAUCCUGGAGCUCAACUCCAGAACUGCCAUUGAUACUAUCUAUCUUGAAUAUUGUGGAGGUAAGCGGAAUAUGUCAUGUAGCGGUGAAAUGCUUAGAUAUGACAUAGAACACCCAUUGCGAAGGCAGCUUACUACGCAUAUAUUGACGC
rnacentral:rRNA from 1 species